CUGGGAAAUGUGUGCUUGCGCGGUUGCUGGAGUCGCGGUCUCUUCCCUGGUGGUUCCGACUGCGGAGAGCGGGGAGAUGAAGACGAAGGCCACCGCGCCGGUGCCCCAACCUGGGCCUAUCAGGAAGCUCGCUAGGAAGAAAGCCAAGAAGAAGUUCAGGAAGAGCAAAGCUCUGGCAGGAAGUGGGGUUCCGGGAAGCCACCCGGCGGCUGUGGCAGGCCGACCGCCGAAGGCCCCCGAGAACUUUUCUCAAAAUUGGAAGGCGUUGCAAGAGGUGAGACCGGCGACAGGCCACCUUCAUCCCGAACUUUCUGUCAGGUAGCCACAGACUCCGAAGGAGGAAGGGAUGUUGCCCUCUGCUUCAUUCAAAUUCUUUUUCUCAAUUAUGAAUCACUUAUCUAGGUUGCCACCCUGGCAACGUCUUAAACUAUGUCCCAGAACUCUGGCCCAGUGGUUCUGGAACUAUUGUAGCUCAGGGUAUACCCACACUAGUGGUUGUCCUCCUACAUUAGGUAGCCUCCCUAGUCCUGAGCCUCUAUACCUACCCCCAUUCAUAAAUUCUUCCAUACUAGUUAGAUGCUUUUUUUUGUUGUUUUUGUUUUUUCGAGACAGGGUUUCUCUGUGUAGCCCUGGCCGUCCUGGAACUCACUCUGUAGACCAGGCUGGCCUCGAACUCAGAAAUCUGCCUGCCUCUGCCUCCCGAGUGCUGGGAUUAAAGGCGUGCGCCACCACGCCCAGCUUAGUUAGAUGCUUUUACUGCCCUUGUUUCUUAGACGGGGAAAUUGUGACACAUAACUUACAGGGUUUGAGUUGAAAGUAGGUCACAUACGGUGUAAACAGCAGAACUGGGGUGCUGAAUAUGCCUUCACUGUCGACUUCUAGGGAGUCUUGAGGAGUGUAUGUCAUGGAGCCUCAGUAAGAAAGACAAUAAGGAAUUUCUUGGCCUCCAUAACAACACUCCACCUUGUUCCUUAGUGUGGAUCUUCCAACAGGACACCCAGGAGCAGCCAAACCCUGUGGACAGUCAGGGCUGUGUAUGCUGGUUCUUGUUCUUUCUCCCAAGAAAGUAAAGUGUGCAGGGAGGACAUGUUUACUAAAGGAAACUUGGAUUUGGCUCUGGUUUCUACAAGAAUCUAAAUCCUUCAGGCCUUUUAAGUAUUAGGGGAGUGAAUAAGUAGAAACUCACUGCAACAUCUCUCAGCUGGUUGCCAUCUUGUUGUGGUCUUAACUGGAGAUUUGAACACAAGGAAGAAAUUGGUCUCCUGGACCUCUCCUCUACAUGGAUCAGCCCUAUCUGGUUUCACAGGACUUCUUUCUUUCCAUUGAACUCCCUUCCUCCAGGUCUUCCUUAGAUUCUGAGCUGUAGCCGCCUCCAGAGAUAACGGAAGUGAUCACUGUGUCCCACAGUGUUGACCAUGGAAGUCACUAAGUGAAACUCC
rnacentral:lncRNA from 1 species